rnacentral:misc_RNA from 1 species
GACAGUGACGCGUUCAUGUGCGCGUCGGACUGUGCAGAAGGACCGGAAAUUACGCUCUCGCUUCUCUUGACGAAGGACGUGCAUUGAAAAAGAAAAGGCAGCCUCUGCCGUGCCAGACAAGCAGGCUAGGCCCGCGCGCAACAGUCAUGUCCUCCUCUUCUGGCCAGUACAGCGGCAGCGGUGGUAACCGAGGCAGCGGCUUUGUGCACCUCAACACUCCGGCCAGCAUCCACUAUACGGUGGGGAAGACUCUGUCGCUUUCCGCCCUGCGCCAGCGCAAGUCCCGCGUGGAGUGCGUUGUGUUGCCGGAAUCGAUGUCUGUGUGGCGCGACGCCUUCCAGCGCUACUCGAAGGAGGAAGGCUACAGCAGCUUCGCCGCUGAUAUUGAAGACGAGCGCACUGGAAACGGACCGAUUCUGCCGCCGCUAGUGCCGCAGCGCGCUGGCCCGGUGCGCCGUCGUGCCGGCAAGGCGCUUGUGCGGACAGAUGCCUUUUUUUGUGCUUCAUCGUCGCCGGCGCCGCUCGGCACCUCCGCAUCUGCGGCACACACCGGCGCCGACAGGCCGCCCCUCACAGGUGGUGCCGCUGCCACUAGCAGCACCACCACCGCCGACAGUGCGAGUUCGUCGAGUAGACUCAGUAACAAUGGCACCACUGCGACAUCUGCCGACAGCGUGGCCGAUGGUUCGACUGGGCCUACGGCGAAGCAGCAGCAGGAUGGCAUCCCCAUCGUUAGCCAUCACAAGCUUUUGGGUCGGCAGCAGUUUGUGUACCCCGAUUACGAUGGCGUGCUCUCCGCCGGCGUGGUGCCGCAGAUCGUCGUCACAGCUGAGGAAAAGGCGGAGGAGGCGGCGGCGAAGGCCUUCUACAUCUCUCCCCUCACCAUGACGGAGGAGGAGCUGGCUGCCUUCGAGGAACUGCAGGGGCUGUGGAAAAGUCGCGCACGCAGCCACUCCUUCCUUGGCGCGCAGCACCGGAAAGCCGCCAAGGGCGUGGUGGACCCGUCAUCGUCCGCGGACGUGCUGGGGGCGGGCGGCGCGGGGCUGCCCAAGGUGCCCAGGCGCGAAGGAGUGGCAGGUGGCGCCUCCCUUUCCUCUCGCCGAGGGAAUGAGGUGGACGUGCCGGCCUACGCCGAGGCCGAGACGGCCGUGGAGGAAGAGUCGAAGCUGGACAAGGAGCUGUCCGAGGCGCUGCGCAUGGCGGAUGACCUCCUGCGCUUUGCUUAGGUUGAUGGCGGUGAUGGUGAUCGCAUCGGGGAUGAAUCUCACGACCGAUCUCCGCAUGCUUCGCAUGACUGUUUUUUUUUUGUUUCUUCUUCUCCUAGCAUUUCCGUCAUGUGGUGGAAAGAUUUCGCUGGGCAUGCAGAGAGAAGGUGGUUUGAGCAGGCGCAUGCGUGUUUGUUGGUGUGCACGCCCAGUCCUCGACAGCGAGUGGCUGCCCGAACAAAAGCGGCGAAUCGGCGUGGCAGGCGGCACCAGCGUAUUCAAGGCGCAAAAAGGAAGAAAACAACCUGGGUGCUUAUCGCACCACCUUUCCAUGGUGUGGACGUCAUCCCUCAGUGAUGAUGGAAACUGUCGGCCGUCACCGGUGAUGCUGCCAUUUUGAGCAACGGACGGUGAAGCUCAAACAUGCUGUGCGAGAAAGGCACCGACGCGCACAUCCAGCCAACACGUGCGGCGGGUACACAGGACCUACUUGUCUCUCUCUCUACUUUCUCUUAUCUGUGCAUCAUCGUCAUCAUUGCCGCCACUACCACCACCACACUGACACUCACACCCACGCGUAACACCGCAAUCCUGUACCCUUCCCCCUCCCUCGCCCAUUCACCGUAAUGGCAG